ensembl:snRNA Gm24382 predicted gene, 24382
UGCUGGUCUUUGUCAGCACAUAUUAAAUUGAAACGAUACAGACAAGAUUAGCAUGGACCCUGUGCAAGGAGUGCUUUUCUUUAAGGAGAAAGAGGGGAAGUCUGU